UAGACCUCAAAUCAGGUGGGACUACCCGCUGAACUUAAGCAUAUCAAUAAGCGGAGGAAAAGAAACUAACAAGGAUUCCCCUAGUAAUGGCGAGUGAAGAGGGAAAAGCCCAAAUUUGUAAUCUGGCUCUUUUAGAGUCCGAGUUGUAAUUUUGAGAACUGUUUUCCGUGCUGGACCAUGUACAAGUCUGUUGAAAAACAGCAUCAUUGAGGGUGAAAAUCCCGUACAUGAUAUGGACUACCAGUGCAAUGUGAUACAGUCUCUAAGAGUCGAGUUGUUUGGGAAUGCAGCUCAAAGUGGGUGGUAAAUUCCAUCUAAGGCUAAAUAUAGGUGAGAGACCGAUAGCAAACAAGUACCGUGAGGGAAAGAUGAAAAGAACUUUGGAAAGAGAGUUAACAGUACGUGAAAUUGUUAAAAGGGAAACAUUUGAAGUUAGACUUGUUAUUGUUGGUUCAGCUUUCUCUUUUGAAGGUGUAUUCCAAUGGUUAACAGACCAGCAUCAAUUUUUGGGUGUUAGAUAAGGGUCUUGAGAAUGUAGCAAUUUUGGUUGUGUUAUAGCUCUUGACUUUGAUAUAAUGCUUAAGAUUGAGGAACGCAGUGAGCUUUUUAUUAAGUGGAUGCCUUUGGGGAUCUUCUCACUACG
rnacentral:rRNA from 1 species